rnacentral:rRNA from 1 species
AUUGAACGCUGGCGGCAUGCCUUACACAUGCAAGUCGAACGGUAACGCGGGGCAACCUGGCGACGAGUGGCGAACGGGUGAGUAAUGCAUCGGAACGUGCCUGGUAGUGGGGGAUAACUGCUCGAGAGAGCAGCUAAUACCGCAUACGACCGGAGGGUGGAAGGGGGGGAUCGACAGACCUCUCGCUAUCAGAGCGGCCGAUGUCGGAUUAGCUAGUUGGUGGGGUAAAGGCCCACCAAGGCAACGAUCCGUAGCUGGUCUGAGAGGACGACCAGCCACACUGGGACUGAGACACGGCCCAGACUCCUACGGGAGGCAGCAGUGGGGAAUUUUGGACAAUGGACGCAAGUCUGAUCCAGCCAUGCCGCGUGCGGGAAGAAGGCCUUCGGGUUGUAAACCGCUUUUGUCAGGGAAGAAAUCUUCUGAGUUAAUACCUCGGGAGGAUGACGGUACCUGAAGAAUAAGCACCGGCUAACUACGUGCCAGCCGCCGCGGUAACAC